rnacentral:rRNA from 1 species
AUUGAACGCUGGCGGCAUGCCUUACACAUGCAAGUCGAACGGUAACAGGUCUUCGGAUGCUGACGAGUGGCGAACGGGUGAGUAAUACAUCGGAACGUGCCCGAGAGUGGGGGAUAACGAGGCGAAAGCUUUGCUAAUACCGCAUACGAUCUCAGGAUGAAAGCUGGGGACCGCAAGGCCUUGCGCUCACGGAGCGGCCGAUGGCAGAUUGGGUAGUUGGUGGGAUAAAAGCUUACCAAGCCGACGAUCUGUAGCUGGUCUGAGAGGACGACCAGCCACACUGGGACUGAGACACGGCCCAGACUCCUACGGGAGGCAGCAGUGGGGAAUUUUGGACAAUGGGCGCAAGCCUGAUCCAGCCAUGCCGCGUGCAGGAUGAAGGCCUUCGGGUUGUAAACUGCUUUUGUACGGAACGAAAAGACUCCUUCUAAUAAAGGGGGUCCAUGACGGUACCGUAAGAAUAAGCACCGGCUAACUACGUGCCAGCCGCCGCAGUAACAC